CCGACUCUUCCUCCCCUCUCGGCCGAUUUCUUUCCCCUUCGAUUUCUUCCUCUUCCGGCCGACUCCGGACGUAAUCCGGCCACCCCCAAGCUCGGUUUCUUCCCCCGGUCACGUCCCUGGAGGUAUCUUUGGACGAUUUGGCCGGAAAAGCUCGGAUCGAAGGAAAUUCCUCCCCGGUUGCAGUUUUGGGAUUUUGCCGAUUUCCGGCCAUUCCGGCCACCUCCGGCCGCCAUAUUCCCAUCGAAGGGUUCUUGGAGCUUCGGGGCUUUCCUUCACCGGCUCGAUUCGGCCACUUAGAGGACGAGAGGAGUCUCCAUACGAGGAGAACCACGAGCGACGUCAGGAUUGACCGCAUAUUAUUGCAGUACUGUUGCUCGGUGUACGAGGGUGAGCCAUAGUGACCGUACCUGCUUCCGCCAUCACAUUCUGUAGGUUACCUGGUUAACCUACUGUAUUCCUUG